rnacentral:rRNA from 1 species
AUUGAACGCUGGCGGCAGACCUAACACAUGCAAGUCGAGCGGAUGAAGGGAGCUUGCUCCUGGAUUCAGCGGCGGACGGGUGAGUAAUGCCUAGGAAUCUGCCUGGUAGUGGGGGAUAACGUCCGGAAACGGGCGCUAAUACCGCAUACGUCCUGAGGGUGAAAGUGGGGGAUCUUCGGACCUCACGCUAUCAGAUGAGCCUAGGUCGGAUUAGCUAGUUGGUGGGGUAAAGGCCUACCAAGGCGACGAUCCGUAACUGGUCUGAGUGGAUGAUCAGUCACACUGGAACUGGGACACGGUCCAGACGACUACGGGAGGCAGCAGUGGGGAAUAUUGGGCAAUGGGCGAAAACCUGAUCCAGCCAUGCCGCGUGUGUGAAGAAGGUCUUCGGAUUGUAAAGCACUUUAAGUUGGGAGGAAGGGCAGUAAGUUAAUACCUUGCUGUUUUGACGUUACCAACAGAAUAAGCACCGGCUAACUUCGUG